CAAAAUCAGUUUCUUGUUUCUGGUUAUUGUCUGACUAUUAUAGCUCUAUAUAAUAACACUGUCUCUGAAUCUUCUGAAGCUGUAAAGUGCUGUUGUGUUUGGUUGUUGCAGGUGUGUUCGUACUGUCACAUGGUUGGUGCCACUUUGGGAUGUUUCUUCAAAGAUUGCCCAAAUAAGUACCACUUCCCCUGUGCCCUGCAGUCAGGUAAUGGCCAUCAGUUCUCGUGAGACCAUGCAGACUGAAUCCAAAACUACAGUGUCAGUUUGGUUGAACAAAAAAACAAACAAAUCUUUGUUUCAAGGCAGUGGCGAAUGACAAAUGCGUUUCAGGGCAGUGAGGUACAAAGGUACCUCCUGAAAUUGAUUUCGAACAGACUUCUGAGGCAGCAUAACGGUCUAAUGAUCUACAAUAAAAUAAAGAGCACUUUGGUGAUAACUAAGUGAAGAUAUAAUUACUAUAAUGCUCAUUUUAGCAAAAAAGGCCAUCAAAUUAAAAAAAAAUUUUUUUUUCAAAACAUACAUUGACGCACAAACUGACCACUAAUCCCAACUUUAAGGCUGCAUUUAAUUGAAAAGCCCUAUUGAGAUUUUAGCCUCUUGUAAGGCCUCAGUUUGUUUCCCAUUUCCGGCUGUUCUGGGGUUUCUCGCUCGUCUCCGUUUUGUUGCACUGAUGCUUGUGUUCUUUUUCAUGUCAUCAUCUUUGUCGAGGUGCUUAUCUGUGCUGCUGUGUCUCCACACAGACAGUGCGCUCAACGAGGAGAACCUAACGAUAAGAUGCCCGAAGCACAAGAAUAAAACAUCCAGAGUGAGCGUUAGCAGGCUGAAGAACAGAUGACAUUUGGAAGGUGCUGAAAUGUCUUUGAAGGUAUUUUACUGCACUACUCACACCUUUAUUAAGCCUUAGACUUUUUAUUUUGCCUUAGACAUUUUUAAUCCGAAGUAUGACAUUAGUUAUGUUUUGUGUGCAGGCCUUAUUAGGA
rnacentral:lncRNA from 1 species